AUCGCUUCUCGGCCUUUUGGCUAAGAUCAAGUGUAGUAUCCAUUGUUGUUAUUUUAUUCAAGGCAACUGACUCAUAUUCAGUGUCCACGAGGAAGCCAGUUUCACUUAACAGCUGUGUGACUCACUUAAC
rnacentral:snRNA from 1 species